CCAAUAGCGUAUAUUAAAGUUGUUGCAGUUAAAAAGCUCGUAGUUGAAUUUCGGGAUUUGCACAUCGGUCGUGCCUUAAGGGGUAUGAACUGGUGUAGUGAAUUUCUCACCUUCUGGAGAACCGUGAUGUCCUUAAUUGGGUGCCACGAGGAACCAGGACCUUUACUUUGAAAAAAUUAGAGUGUUUAAAGCAGGCAUUU
rnacentral:rRNA from 1 species